rnacentral:rRNA from 1 species
GGGGAAUAUUGCACAAUGGGGGAAACCCUGAUGCAGCGACGCCGCGUGAGUGAAGAAGUAUUUCGGUAUGUAAAGCUCUAUCAGCAGGGAAGAAAAUGACGGUACCUGACUAAGAAGCCCCGGCUAACUACGUGCCAGCAGCCGCGGGAAUACGUACGGGGCAAGCGUUAUCCGGAUUUACUGGGUGUAAAGGGAGCGUAGGUGGUUCGGUAAGUCAGAUGUGAAAGCCCGGGGCUCAACCCCGGGACUGCAUUUGAAACUAUCGGACUAGAGUGCAGGAGAGGUAAGUGGAAUUCCUAGUGUAGCGGUGAAAUGCGUAGAUAUUAGGAGGAACACCAGUGGCGAAGGCGGCUUACUGGACUGUAACUGACACUGAGGCUCGAAAGCGUGGGGAGCAAAC